UGGUUACAAAGAAUAAUAAAAAGGGGAAGUAGAUAGAAGACGACUUGGAAGUUCGAAGUCUGAAAAUGGAAGCGUGAGUGGCACGAGCUGACACCGAUGGCAACUGGGAGAACAGUGCAGACACACUAUUACGAUGUUUUCCUAAGUUUCAGGGGAGAAGAUACGCGUCACCUUUUCACCAAAAAUCUCUAUGAUGCUUUGAGAAGAAAGGGAAUCAACACCUUCAUCGACGACAGGAAAUUGGGCAAAGGGAAAAAGAUUUCAGCCACCCUUCUUAAAGCCAUCGAAAGAUCACGCCUCUCCCUCGUCGUUUUUUCCGAAAAUUAUGCAACUUCCACGUGGUGUCUCGAUGAACUUGUCAAGAUUGUUGAGUGUAAGGAGCAAAAGAAUCAGCCCCUUUGCCCAAUCUUCUACAAGGUCGAUCCCUCCGAUGUACGGCUCCAGAGGAAUAGUUAUGGGGUAGCCAUGGCUACUCUUGAACAUAGGUUCAGACAUGAUUUGCAAAAGGUCAACAAAUGGAGGUUCGCUUUGUCUCAAGCUGCCACCUUCUCAGGAUGGCAUUUUCAACAUGGGGAUGAAUUUAUGUUCAUUGAAAGGAUUGCUGAACAGAUAUUCAAAACAUUACCGCCUAAACGAACACAUAUCAGUGAGCACAUAGUCGGACUCAAGUUUCCUAUGGAAGAAGUGAAGUCACUGCUGGAUAGUGUGUCUGAAUCUGAUAAUAAUGUAUGCAUGUUGGGAAUUCAUGGAGCUGGUGGGAUUGGCAAGACAACCCUUGCCAAGGCUUUGUAUCAUUCAACCUUCCACCAAUUUGAAGGUUCAUGUUUUCUUUUUGAUGUCAGAGAAAUUUCAAAGCAGUACAAGGGCCUAGUACGUCUCCAACAAUCACUUCUAUCUGAGAUUCUUGAGGAGACAAAAAUUAAGGUGGGUAGUGUUGAUGAAGGAAUCUCUAAAAUAAAGCACAGGCUUUGCCAUAAAAGAAUUCUUCUGGUUCUUGAUGAUGUUGAUGAUGUAGAACAGUUAGAAAAACUUGCUGGAAAAUGUGACUGGUUUGGCUCGGGUAGCAGGAUCAUUAUAACAGCAAGGGAUAAACAUCUGCUGACUUCCCCUCAUGUCAACAGGACAUAUCAAAUGAAGGGACUGAAUGAUCAUGACGCUCUUGAACUCUUUUCUUGGCAUGCCUUUAAUAUGACUCAACCUGCAUCAGGCUAUGAAGAAAUGUCUAAUUAUGUAGUAAGUUAUGCACAGGGCCUUCCAUUGGUUUUAGAAGUAAUUGGUUCCAAUUUGACUCAUAAAAGCUUAGAGGCAUGGAAAUGUAUUUUGAAGCAAUAUGAGAGUAUUCCAGAUAGAAACGUUCUGGACAUACUGAAAAUAAGCUAUGACAACUUAGAGGAUAAUGCAAAGUGUAUUUUCUUAGACAUUGCUUGUUUCUUCAAAAGGAGGCCUUUGGAAUUUGUUGAAGAGAUACUAGAUGCAAGUGGUUUUGGUGCAAAAUUUUACAUUGAGGUACUUGUUGAUAAAUAUCUCUUAUCUGUCAAUGGAUUUGGCUGCUUGUGGAUGCAUGAUCUUAUCCAAGAAAUGGGUAAAGAUAUUGUUAGAAUGGAGGCACCAUCAGAACCUGGUCAACGCAGCAGAUUAUGGUGUCAUGAUGAUAUUUGUAGAAUACUACAUGAAAAUUCUGGAAGUAGAAAUAUUGAAGGAAUGAUGCUUGAUCCUCCAGAAAAUGAAGAAGUGGAGUGGAAUGGAACUUCCUUUGAAAAGAUUAAUAAUCUUAGAAUUCUCAUUGUUCGAAACACAUGCUUUUCAACUGCCCCCAAGCAUCUGCCAAAUAACUUGAGGUUGCUUGAUUGGGAGGGAUAUCCUUCAACAUCAUUACCACAGGGCUUUUAUCCCAGAAACAUUGUUGUCUUAAAGUUACGCCACAGCCUUUUCAGAUUGCAAGAGCCAUUGAAGAGAUUCGAGUAUUUGACAGAUAUGUAUUUCUCACAUUGUGAAUUCAUAACUCAAAUACCUGAUGUAUCUGGAGCACCAAAUUUAAGAGAACUGGUUUUUAAGGAUUGCUGCAAUGUUACAAAGAUUCACAAUUCUGUUGGAUCUCUCUCUAGGCUGAUUCAGUUAGAUGUCAGUGGUUGCACCAAGCUUAUAACCUUUCCCCAUAAAAUCAAAAUGGCAUCUCUAGAAAUGCUUGAUCUCACUGGUUGCAAAAGUCUUAACUACUUCCCAAACAUAAUAGGAAAGAUGGAUGCUUUAAAGACAAUUCUUGCUGAAGAUACCGGUAUUAAAGAGCUACCACAUUCUAUUGGCAAUCUAUCAGGACUCGAACUUCUAGAUAUGAAUUGUUGCAAGAAUCUUAGACAUUUACCAAGUAGCUUAUUCAUGUUGCAAAAUCUUGGCUGGCUUCUACUGGGAGAUAGUCGACCACGCAGUAGAAAAUCAUUUAGAAAAUCAAUGCAAGAGAACCAUAUGGUAGUAGCUGGACGCCCAAAUUUACAAUUCUUGAAUCUUGAGAACUGUGGCAUAUUGGAUGAAGAUCUUCACCUUGUUCUUGAUAUUUUUUCAAAACUGCAAGGUUUAUUUCUAUCAGGGAAUGAUUUUGUUUCCCUUCCAGAAUGCAUUAAAGAGUGUGCUAAUUUGUUAGAACUGGAUGUCACUGGUUGCAAGAAGCUUCAAGACAUUCCACAGCUUCCCUCAAAUUUGAAGAUAAUAAAGGCUGAGAAUUGUACGUCAUUGACAACAGAGUCAUCAGGCUGGUUAUGGUCUCAGGCAAUGAACGAGGUUCGUGACUUACUAAUCAAAAUGCCAGAAACAUCAAUUCCAGAUUGGUUUGAUCAUCGUUGUGAAGACGGGGCUGUGUCUUUUUGCACACGUGGCAAGUUUCCUUCCAUGGCUUUGGCAUUUGUUUUAGGACAUGGCAAUGUGAAAACAGAGGAUGACAGAGAGUGCCAUGUUGAGGUCUAUGUGCGCAUUAACGGUCGUGAAGUGCACAGGAAAAAUAGUCCAAGCCAUUUACACUGUCCAAUUAUAGAAGGUAAUUUGUUAUUGUGGGAUCUACGACAAAUUUUUCGAGAAGCAGAGUGGGAAAGCCUUGGUGCAUUACCAAUGCAUGAUUGGAAUGAUGUGGAAAUACAAGCUGUAUGUGACUCAACAGAUUUCACCAUACGUAGCUCUGGUGUUUAUGUGUACAAGCAACAAAUAAACAUGGAAGACAUUCAAUUCAAGAGUCCCAAAUCCAUUAACUCCACUGGGUUUUGCUUAACAUCCACUAGUAUUGCAAGAAAUGUGUUAAAACGUAAGAGUUAAAUUUUAUCCUCAGCAUGAACCACCAAAGAAAGUCAUGAGGAAGUACAAGUCUAAGGAUAAGGGAAAAUAUGCCUCAAAAAUGAGGAAAAGGAGAAUGGAAAACAAAGCACAAUGAUGGGGUUCCAUUUCCUACGACAUGGGCAUGAGGAAGUGGGGUUGUCUGGAGCCCCUUUGGGAGAUUUAAGAAGCAGCGAGGGUGGAUGAUGCUUUCGAUCAUUAAAAUUUAGAUUUAUGUCUACAAACUUCUUGUUAUUGCACUACCUUAAUUUUCAUGCUGAGGGUCAUCUUGCAAGUUAAAUAUAGCAAGAAUAAUGGCAAAUAUGUCUUUUCAUAGGUGUUGCACAACUCACCGGUGCAACUAAAUAUAUUGUGUUGCCCAAAUAUGUCUUUCAAUGUUGAGUGUCAUCUUGCGCGCAUUAAUAUUUGAGGAGUAUUCUCCAUUGCUGAGGAAGCAUACAAAGGAUAGCGAUCACGCAGGACAAGUUAUAUAUAUAUAUAGAAAAUUUGUCAUUUC